rnacentral:rRNA from 1 species
GACGGAGGAGGCAAGCGUUAUCCGGAAUUAUUGGGCGUAAAGCGUCCGUAGGUGGCUAUGCAAGUCUGCUGUCAAAGCAUGGAGCUCAACUACAUAGAGGCAGUGGAAACUGAAUAGCUAGAGUUCGGUAGGGGUAGCGGGAAUUCCCAGUGUAGCGGUGAAAUGCGUAGAGAUUGGGAAGAACAUCGGUGGCGAAAGCGCGCUACUGGGCCGAAACUGACACUGAGGGACGAAAGCUAGGGGAGCGAAAGGG